GGAAGGGUGUCCGAGUGGUUGAAGGAGCACGCUUGGAAAGCGUGUAACCCGCAAGGGUUCGCAGGUUCAAAUCCUGUCCCUUCCG
rnacentral:tRNA from 1 species